CCAAAAUCAAGAGUCGAACAUGUAACUACUGAGCUGCUUAGGUGCCCUAAUAAUUUUCUUAACUUGCAACACAGAUGGGUGAAGUAUUUUACAUUUUUCUCUCUUUAAAUGUGACAGAACUGGGUUGCUUUUUUUUUUUUUUAACUAACAUAUAUAUUUAUAUGUUGUCUUCCUGCUCUCAUCCACUCAUUCGUGUGGCUGUAGUUGAGGAAUUACUGAAGAAAGAAACCAGGUGAGUAAGAGUUCAAGAUGCCUGUGCAGCAGGAUGGAUUCUGGAUGAUAGUCUUUCUUAAUUUGUUCAAGAGGAAACUCAGCACGUGUGCUGACCAUGGACCGACUUCACUCCCUUUUCAGAGACCAAGAAAGAGAAGAAUUUCCUUUGAAAGAUGCGUAAAUUCUUUCCAAGGAAGACCUAGUCCCUUAUGAGGAUCUCUUCCAAUGCCUACUUUUGGGUAUUACAGCCUCUUAAGCAUGAGGUAAUGUGGAAUGUGGAAGGGCCUAUGGAGUGUUGCAUACAAAACACAGAGGGACCCUAGAGAAACAGACAUUGAUUCUGGUCUAGUGUGAUCAGAGAAGACUUCCUGGAACGUUUUUCAUUUGUGCUGGACCUUCAAGAAUGUGUGGAUUUCUAGAGUGGGUGAACGGAUAGAGACACCGUGGUGCCUUCACAUGAUGGGACAGCAAAUACCUCAGCAGGAAACAGGAAGAGACGGUCGAUGCACACAACGCCCUGUAUGAAUUUCAAAGGCAUCUUGCUUGGUGAAAAAAGUGAGUCUCAAAAGGUUACCCACUAUAUGAUUCCAUUUUUAUGACAGUCUUGAAAAGACAGCCCUACAGUGACAGAGGACAGGACAGUGGUAUGUGUAUAUUGCGUGGAGAGAGUUUAGUGUAUAAAAGGAUAGAAGGGACAGGUGUUGGGGGUGAUGGGAUUCUUCUGUGUCCUGGGCUUUUUCCAUGCUUUCACCAGAUGGGGUAGGUCAGCCUCAAUGAUGAUUCCAUAGUCAGAGCUUGUGUUAGAAGUAGGGCAUAGAUUUUCCUUUCUUGGCUUCCAAAAAUUAGAUAAAUGGAGAAAAACCCACAGCCUUCUGGAAAAAACGACCUUUGUCUGUUAGGGUGAUACUGUCCGUGAUGUCUUAGGAUAGGGGUUGUCGACCUAUAGCCCUCAGGCCACAUCCUGCAUUGCACCUGUCUUUGUAACAGCCUGAGAACUGUGUGGCUUUUACACAUUUCAAUGGCGGAUAAAUAUCAAAACAAAAACAUUUCAUAGCAUGCGAGAAGUCUAUGACAUUCAAAUUUCAGUGCCCGUAAAUAAAGUUUUAUUGGCACACAGCCAUGUUCACUCAUUUACAUAUUGUUUAUGGCUGCUUUUGAGCUAUUACUGCAGAGUUAAGUAUUUGCAACUGAGACCGUAUGGCACACAAGCCUGAACUAUUUACUAUGUGGCCCUUUACGGAAAAAGUUUGCUGACAGUUGUUUUAGAAUAUUCCUUAGAUAAUGUGCUUAUUUUUUAUUUCAAA